rnacentral:rRNA from 1 species
UACGGAAGGCAGCAGUGGGGAAUAUUGCACAAUGGGCGAAAGCCUGAUGCAGCUAUGCCGCGUGUAUGAAGAAGGCCUUAGGGUUGUAAAGUACUUUCAUCGGGGAGGAAAAAACAAAACUAAUAAUUUUAUUUCUUGACGUUACCCGAAAAAGAAGCACCGGCUAACUCCGUGCCAGCAGCCGCGGUAAUACGGAGGGUGCUAGCGUUAAUCAGAAUUACUGGGCGUAAAGAGCACGUAGGUGGUUUUUUUAAGUCAGAUGUGAAAUCCCUGGGCUUAACCUGGAACUGCAUUUUGAAACUGAAAUACUAGAGUAUCGUAGAGGGAGGUAGAAUUCUAGGUGUAGCGGUUGAAAUGCGUAGAUAUCUGGAGGAAUACCUGUGGCGAAAGCGGCCUCCUAAACGAAUACUGACACUGAGGUGCGAAAGCGUGGGGAGCAAACGAGGGAUUAGGAUACC